rnacentral:rRNA from 1 species
AAACGACUCUCGGCAACGGAUAUCUCGGCUCUCGCAUCGAUGAAGAACGUAGCGAAAUGCGAUACUUGGUGUGAAUUGCAGAAUCCCGUGAACCAUCGAGUCUUUGAACGCAAGUUGCGCCCCAGGCCCUCGGGCCGAGGGCACGUCUGCCUGGGUGUCACG